rnacentral:rRNA from 1 species
UACGAAGGGGGGCUAGCGUUGCUCGGAAUCACUGGGCGUAAAAGGGGUGCGUAGGCGGGGUCUUUUAAGUCAGGGGGUGAAAUCCUGGAGCUCAACUCCAGAACUGCCUUUGAUACUGAAGAUCUUGAGUUCGGGAGAGGUGAGUGGAACUGCGAGUGUAGAGGUGAAAUUCGUAGAUAUUCGCAAGAACACCAGUGGCGAAGGCGGCUCACUGGCCCGAUACUGACGCUGAGGCACGAAAGCGUGGGGAGCAAACAGG